rnacentral:rRNA from 1 species
GACGAACGCUGGCGGCGUGCCUAAUACAUGCAAGUUGAGCGCUGAAGGUUGGUACUUGUACCAACUGGAUGAGCAGCGAACGGGUGAGUAAGGCGUGGGGAAUCUGCCUUUGAGCGGGGGACAACAUUUGGAAACGAAUGCUAAUACCGCAUAAAAACUUUAAACACAAGUUUUAAGUUUGAAAGAUGCAAUUGCAUCACUCAAAGAUGAUCCCGCGUUGUAUUAGCUAGUUGGUGAGGUAAAGGCUCACCAAGGCGAUGAUACAUAGCCGACCUGAGAGGGUGAUCUGCCACAUUGGGACUGAGACACGGCCCAAACUCCUACGGGAGGCAGCAGUAGGGAAUCUUCGGCAAUGGACGAAAGUCUGACCGAGCAACGCCGCGUGAGUGAAGAAGGUUUUCGGAUCGUAAAACUCUGUUGGUAGGGAAGAACGUUGGUGAGAGUGGAAAGCUCAUCAAGUGACGGUAACUACCCAGAAAGGGACGGCUAACUACGUG